GUCGGAUGUGAAAUCCUGGGGCUUAUCCCCGGAAGUGCAUUCGAAACUGGCAGACUUGAUUAUGGGACAGGGAAGCGGAUUUCCUGGUGUAGAGGUGACAUUCGUAGAAUGUCAGGAGGAACACCGGUGGCGAAGGUGGCUUCCUGGACCAUUACUGACCGCUCAGGUGCAAAGGCGUGGGGAGCACACAGGAUUAGAUACCCUGGUAGUCCACGCAGUAUACGGUGAACACUAGGUGUAGCGGGUAUUGACCCCUGCUGUGCCGGAGUUAGCGCAUUAAGUGUUCCGACUGGGGAGUACGUCCGCAAGGUUAUCACUCGAAGGAAUUGACGGGGGCCCGCACAAGCGCUGGAGCAUCUGGUGUAAAUCGACGCAACGCGAAGAACCUUACCUGGGUUUGACAUCCCGGGAAUCCGUAUGAAAGUAUGGAGUGCCCUUGCGGGGAGCCCGGAGACAGGUGCAUGCAUGGCUGUAGUCAGCUCGUCUCGUGAGAUGUUGGGUUAAGUCCCGCAAACGAGCGCAACCACGUUGUCACUCAGUAGCCAGCGAUUCGGUCGGGGACUCUGGAGAUACUGCCCCGGUUAACGGGGAGGAAGGUGGGGAUGACGUCAAGUCCUCAUGGCCUUUAUGCCCAGGGCUACACACGUGCUACAAUGGUCUGUACAAAGGGUGCCGAACCUGCGUAGGCAAGCCAAUCCCAAUAAGCAGGCCUCAGUUCGGAUUGGAGUCUGCAACUCGACUCCAUGAAGUUGGAAUCGCUAGUAAUCGCGGAUCAGCAUGCCGUGGUGAAUACGUUCCCGGGCCUUGUACACACCGCCCGUCACACCAUGAGAGUUG
rnacentral:rRNA from 1 species